UACUUUUACAGAUUCAUGUAUGUUAAGUGGCUUCUAGUAGCAUAAACUUGCUAUACUAAGUAAUAUGGAAGACACAUUGUUUCAACACUUCUCCAAUUGUUCCACUUUUGUUCUAUAGCUUUUUUCGGAUUGAGUAAGGAGAACUCUUGUCUAUGUGGGAACCAUUCAGAAUUAUUUUUACUAUACUAAGAAAAUACAACAAGUGGUUUACUAGUAGCACACAAGUUUAAAACUCAAAUCCAACUACUCUUUGGUCUUGGCUUAGCUUUGGGGUAGUCCGAUUCUAUUGGCUCUAGCUAGUGCUGAUUGAGUAAGGAGGAUUCAUUUGUAUGUGGAACCACUUCGAAAAUACUUUUACUAAUCUGAGUAAGAUUGAAACCAAGACGUUAAACAAAACACGUUGGAGAUGAAGAUGAUGAGGUGGCAGUUUGUUGGUCGUGUGUUUUAUUUUAAUUUAUUUAGGCAUAUAUAGCCAUUAUUAUUCGGUAACAUUAUAAGAUCAAAAUGUCACAAUGCUAACGCAUGACUUGAGAUUCCAACAUUUUAGUCAUAACUCAAAGGACACACGGGACACAUUUGUCCAAAUCACUCAUCUGGCUCACUAGUCCGGAUUAGAACUUAUGGUCCCAAAGAGAUGGGAGAGAGAGCAGGUGAUGGGAUACACUUGAUCUCUGAACUUCAUAGAUGACACUAUAUGUUAAAUUGAAAGCUAUCUAAAUGAUCGGAUAUUGAAGUCUCUUAUCAACCCUACGGAACCCAUCUUGCG